ACGCUCGACACCUACGGGGGCAGCAGUGGGGAAUAUUGCACAAUGGGGGAAACCCUGAUGCAGCGACGCCGCGUGAAGGAUGAAGUAUUUCGGUAUGUAAACUUCUAUCAGCAGGGAAGAAAGUGACGGUACCUGACUAAGAAGCCCCGGCUAACUACGUGCCACAGCCGCGGUAAUCUGAGCGGGCUGGCAAGGC
rnacentral:rRNA from 1 species